GAAAAUUCACCGCGCUCUCGCGUCCUCCGGUCCCUGGCGGUGGAGCUCGGCGCAUGUCUGCGGGGCUUCCGGGAAGCAGCGCUUCGCAGGAUCUUUGGGGCGGGAGAACCUGUUUUACACCUAGGCUCCACACCUCCAGGAAGAGAGAAAAAGGGACGUCGGUGAAGAUCUCGGUCCCAGUCGCGUCCCACGGAGGCCGCUCCCCUGCACUCCUGCGCCCCCUGCCGGCGAGGCCCCAGGGCCCCAGCUACCUGGAUUGGGCGCCUCCCGAAGCGGUUGACUCCGUUGGGAUCCGCACCGGCUUCCAAGAGCUGCUGCACAGUGUCCACUUGCCCCCGCGCGGAGGCGUUGGCCAGGCCCGCGCCGUCGCCGCCACCACGGAGCAUGCCCUUGUCCUCCUCGCGCAUUUCGCAGUCCACAGACGCAGACUGGCCCGGACAAUCCACCACUGGCUGUGAGCUUCGCCACACUCCUCCCUUCUUCCCCACCUCGCCCUGGCGCGCUCACCCCUACGUGGGAGAGCUCAGGUACGUAGUUGGAUGGGAUGUCCUGUGAGAAGGCAUGCAGAUAACAGAAAUGUGAGGCAAAAGAGCAAGAAAGAGUCUCUCUUUUGAUGAGAAGAAGAAUAAACCUCAUUCUUGUUCAGAUGUAGAGAUCAAGGAAAAGACUUCUGUCUUAUUGGCUUCAGAUAUGUUAUCAGCACCUAAAGAAUGGAAAGCUGCAUUAAAGGAGGUUUCCCUUGGGAAGAGAGGCAUUGCAUGUGGUCCUGAGGAUGUAAAGUUGAAUAAGGAUGUUCCUGCCUUUCAAAUGCCAAUAAUCCUUGGAGAAGAUAUGCAAACAUGUGAACACUGUACAAUAUGAUAUGCAUGCCCUUCAAGUCCGUUUCUUAGCCUGUCCACAAACAGUUCUGUCAGCUGCACAGUGACCCGGAGUUCUGCAGCUCCACCUGAGUCUGGGGAAGGGGCAAAGACGCCGGCUGGGCAGCUUGCUGGAGCCAGGUGCUGUCUCCUCUCUAACCACGUUGGCCAGUGUGACCCUGCACACGUGAUAUCGGCAGGAUUAGACUGUUCAAAGUACCUUCUGACCUUUGACCAAGAGCAUGUGGAGUAUACAUUUUCUGCACUUUCAGAGAGUGAAAGGGGGUUAGGUAGUUGAGACCUGGAAAGAUGAAAAGUGAUUUUCCCAAGCGCAUAGAUCAUUGUCCUCUUCAGCAUCACAGUAGCAAACAUUUGCUUGCCUAGUGCCAACUACUGAUCUAGGCACUUCCCACGUAUUACUGUUGCUGGAGAGAGGUUGGAGCUAUGGCUGCUGGACUAAGUUGAGAGAUACCACGAAAGAGAAGAGGAUCCCGAGAGAUGUUGCAAGUUCUGACAGGUAGCAGCUUCACCUAUGGGGAGACAGGCUGGUUGUAAACCAGAAAACAGGUCAGGAACGCCUGAAAACUCUGCCCAUACAUUGUGAAGAACUUCCUGAGGAAGUUUCCUAAAUUGGACACCAAGUAUGAAGCGGACCCCUGGUGCCGGAUCUUGGUGUGCAAAAGAGGCAACUUGGACACAGAGACGGUGCAGAGAUGGCCAUGUGAAGACACAGACACACAAGGAGAAUGCCAUGUGAAGAAGGAGACAGAGGUUGGAAUGAUGUUUCUCUAAGCCAAGGAAUGCCAAGAAUUCCGGACCAUCACGAAGCUAGGACAGAGGCAUGGAGCAGAUUUCUCUCAGCGCCCUUAGAAGUAAGCCACUCAGAUGGCAGAAGCUAUGUGAGCAUGAGCGGUUAAAAGAUGGAUCAGACAUAGUCCCCACCCAAGAAAUCUCUGCUCCUACAUGCAGAAGAUGCUGUGGAAGCCCUGAAGAGGAAAAGCCAACUCAGUCUAGGGUAUUAGGUACAGCUUCUUGAGUCAAGUAUUCCUAGAUCUGAGUCUUGAACAAUGAAUUAUCUGGAAGAGAUACAUGGGCCAGGAGAGGAGGAACAUUCCUGAAAGAGAAAACUACCAAUUUGAAGGCAGGGAAGUAUGAAUUCUGGGUAUCACUGAGAAUUCUGUCCUUAGAUGAUCUGAUCUCCCAGUAGAUGGUAGGAGUCCCUCUCAAAUAUCUGACUUUCCACUCCUGGCUUCUGCAGGGUCAGCCCUCUUCUGAGGUCCUGCUCCCAAUCGACCGAAGUUUGCACAGUAUAGGUAGAUGCAGGAAUCAUUUACACAGGAACUUUUGCAUUCUAAUUAGUUGGUUGUGUGUCCUGUUAGGACCGGUGUGUGGGCAAGGACAAUGCUAAAUGUUUUGAGUCCUUAGAACGUAACGGUGCUGCAGCACUAUGUAAUCCAUCAUUUAAUUUUAUUGAAUGAAGGAGGAAAUUCUUCAUGAACUUUGUACCAGCUUUGUUAAAGUUAUGACAAUAAACUAGCUCACCCUCCACAUGCUUUGGGUUGUGAAACUAAAGGAGAGAUUUUAAAACUUUGACGAAAUUCAGUACACAGUGCAGUUACGAUGAUGUGUGAAUGUGUAUGGAGGAGGGCAAGAACAAAGAAAAUCAAAAAUAGGUCACUUAGUGUAAUAAAGUUACCAGAUAAUUUUCAUUUCCUUUGCUUUUUAAAAGUAUUAUUUUUAAGGGACAAAUGAAUUGAAUACAGGGUUGAAGGAAGAAAACUUGGCAGAAAAUAACAGGUGAGUAACAGCGAUCACUUAAGAGCUGUGACAAAGACAGUUGGAAAUAAAGUGGUUUCUGGCUUGCAGAAUUUGAAAAGAGCCUCGUGUGAGAAGGCUGAUCUAUGAAGGAUGAUGACUAUCUCCAUCAGGGACCAGACAGGAGGCAACAGGCUUAAAUUACAGAAUGAGGGAUUUAGAUAAGAGAAAAGGAAAAAUUUUCAGACGGUGCGAUUUGAUAGACACUGGAAUGUGUAGCUGGGGAAGCUUGUGGAAUUUCCUUCUCUAGAGGUCUUUUAAAAAUAGAACAGUGUUUCAUCUGCCUGAAGGAUGGACUCUGUUUGACCUUUCAAAGUGUCCAUUGAACCCAGAAGGUGCACCAUACCUUAGAGAAGAAAGCAAGCCUGAAUGACCCGGGGUCUCUUGAGUAAUGAAAAUAGGGUGGAUAAGUUUCAUAUUUGAUGUGAUUUACAUAAGUCACGUACGUAAAUUAUGAAUGUUAGAGUUCUUCUUUCUUUUCCUUUUGGUCAAAUGUUUUCAUUUUUAAGGCUUGGAGAUUAGGUUUAAGUAAAAAUAUUAUAGGGAAAGAAGGAAGAACGCUCAUCUUACUUUAGGGCAUAUUUUUAUAAGGACAUAGGCAAGAAGAAACGGACAUUUUGGACAUCUUUGAUUUUGAUUUCACUUCCUAUUCUAAAUUAAAAAACUCAGACUUUUCAGUUGGACUUAAUAUUUUGAGGGCAAAAUUUAAGAAAUUAAUUUAGUCUAAAUGUUUCUUACAGUGUUUUUGGUAACUCAAACUGGAAGAGGUUCUCUGUAUUUAAUUUCCUCUCAGGAAGUUUACCUUCAGAAGUCCAAGUGUGAGGUCAAGCUUUGGGUUGCCGGAAAUGGUAAUGUCCUUUACUGUCUGAGCACCCAGACAACACUUAAUAAAACGUCCUAUUUUGUGGACAUUGGUGAGAAAAUGGAAUCUCCGUAAGGAAAUGUAACUUGCCCAAGAUCACAACACUAGAAAACAGAGUUGGAACACUCCUGAUUUCAAAGCCUGUGUCUUUUCCACUGCAUCAUGCUACGCGGUCUAUGAGAAUCUAUGAUUUUCUGGUGUUGUUUUUUUUUUUUUCCCCCCACCACUGAUGAGAUCUUCGUCUCUGAUUCAUUCUGAGCCAACACACUGUAUUAGAGACCAAUAUUAUUAUCGUCAAAUAGAAAGUUGUGUUAGCAUUCUCAUGGAAUAGAACAUCAAAGCUUUUAAAAAAUCCUGCCACUCCACAUAGGUCGUGCAAAUUUCUGAUAGGGCACUCCACGUGGAUCUUAUAAUUUAUUCUAAUUCAUGCUAGCUUUUGUUUAUUAAGCAACAUUUUGUUUUCAUUAAAAACUUACGUGAAUGAUUGUAUCUGUCUGUGGCAGAAUAUUAAAUGCAACUCCCAUGA